UGUCUCUGUCUGUCGUUGAGCAGGGAGGAGGUCAUCAAACACGGGUGAGCUCGGCACUACCACCGCGACUCGCGCACGCGCAUAGCGCCGCGAAUUCGAAGUUCUUCCAGCCUUAUUUUCUGCUGCCUCUUUUCGCUUCAUUGUCUCCACCGCCAUGUCCCUCGCAGGCGAUCCACUCGACCACCUUCUCCCUCUCCUAAAGCUGCCUCCGCGGCAGAUGAAGAAGACGCACAUCUCGUGUAAGAAGUGGCUGGCACGCUUUUUCAGGAUCGUCGCACCAGAAGCAGGGAUCCAGGCGCACGAUGGAGACGCCUUCGGCGCUCUCGCGGCGCGCCUCCUCCCGCCCCAUGAGCAAGCCACCGGCUUUGUGGCGUUAAACGGCGGCACCCAUGCCGGUUGCACCCCUUAUGACCUUCGUCAGACUCUGGAGGCACACGGACUGCUGCGCUGCGCUGCGGCCGCUACCCCGCAAAAAUGCUCCUGCGCCUCUCCUACUGCUGCGUCUGCCACGCCGUUGCCGUCGAACGGCGUGCUGCAGCACAGUUCCACGCUGCCUUUUGUCGUGUGCAGCGUCCCUCUACAGUUGCCCCGCGAUGCAGUGGAAGGAGCUGGUGCGGGGGCAAGGGCCUUGUCCCAUAGUGUCUCUGUGAUGCAUGUUGCUGUGGCGGAGCUGGCGCACUUUGCUGCCUCUGCCGAAGGAGCGUCUUCCUGCCCCAGUGGGGCGGACCUCCGCGACGACGAGGUCACCCAAACGGGGGCGCUGGUGCACACCUCGCCCGCGUCCUCCCCCGCUGUUGACGGCGCGGCAGCCGACAAAGCAUCCGUGAUGGUGGUGGUGGUGCUGCAAGUGCCGCCGAACGCCUCGCUGUGGAAGGAGGCAUCGUCUUCGACGUCCUCUUCCUCUGCAAAGAAGGGCUGCGGCUUCCUCUACUUGGUGCCGUGUGACGCCGCUGCCGUGCGCUCGCGCGUUGCCCACUUGUUGCAGCGGCCGGUAGUCGGAAUUGAGCGGCUGCUUCCAUCCUCGACUAGUCUGUCGUGUGCUGCCGCCGAGGAGGAGCGAGGCUCACAAGACUGCUCCUCGAGGGCGCGGCCGACCCAGUCGCUCUCAAACGGGGCAGCGCCGCCAGCACGUACGUGCACAUCACAAGCUGUGCCGGAUGUUCCCGGCCUCUUCCUUGUGGAGGACUUUGUAACGGCAGAUGAGGAGAAGACCAUAUGGCACGAACUUCACCACGGACGUCCGCGGCUACAGAUGGAAUAUCUCUCGCGCCGCCGCGUGGCACACUUCAACCGCCGCUUCCUCUACGGAGUGAAUGCGCUCACGGCGGAGGGGGACGUGACGAACGCGCGUCCGUCUUUCUAUGUGUGGAUGCGCGCACGGCUGCAGAAUGACAUGGCUGCCGGGGGCGUGCGCAUCGACGGAGAUUAUCCCUUCCGCCCUGGCGACCACGAGUGCGACCAACUGACGGUGAACUACUACGACUACAGCGAGGUAGGGGCGUGCGGCAUUGCCGCCCACGUGGAUGCGCACAACGCGUUCGACGACGCAGUUUUCAUCGUGUCGCUUGGCUCGUACACCGUAAUGGAGUUUUCGCGCUGGGAUGCACCGGCAGAGGUGGCUGCGCCUGUCGGCGUCUACCUAGCCCCACGCUCCCUCGUCGUCAUAGCUGGGGAGGCCCGCUACGGCUGGACGCACUGUAUCGCUGAAAAGAGGACGGACACGCUGUCCGAGCUACUGCCUACCUUCAGUCGAGGGGAUAGGAUGAGCCUCACAUGGCGGCGCGGGCGGACGCAGCGGCACACCAAAGCCGAGUGCCCGUAUCCUGCCCUGUGCGACGGUGCGUAAAGGCCUGCGCGUGAGAGUGGCAGCCGCUCUUUAUUUUGAACCCGUUCUUGCUGUCUGUGUGCUUGGGUGUCCGCAUCCUUCUCUGUCUUCGUUCGUCGCUGCAGUAAGCCACAUGUGUUCACGCGAC
rnacentral:misc_RNA from 1 species